CAAAGGACACGGAUACCAAAUAUUGUUCUCAAUGUAUUGCAAGUGCCAUACGAAGUUCUGUUGUUGUUUUGAGGACAUUCGCUCUGCGGCAAAACAUUGUAUGUAGCUUCAGAAAUGAUAACUGCAUUCAGAAUGGCAACAGAGGUACAGAUGCCAACAGAGACCAAGUUGAGAAGCAUGCAGGUUUCUGGAAAUUUGUUCCCAAACGUGUGCCCAGCCUUCCUCCUGCACGGUAUACUGGCCUCUUAGGUCAAAUCUGGCCUCUUUAAUUCUGCUGCUUUUCUGACACUUGUGUGGAAGCCUCUUAGCUUGUUCUGACUUGUGUGGAGCUACCUUCCCUGUUACUCCUGAUUCACAGGAAGAAAGGAGCCAUCACAGACAGCCUGGCUCCCGGAGGCUCCGCGCCGCGCUCCCUUUUGCCCGCCCGACUUCUGAGCGGAGCGCUCCGGAGGGAGGAGAACCGGCGAAUCCUCGCGGGCUCCAGGCGCUCGCGGACCGAGCCCGCCCCCACCCGUGCCCGGCCCCGUCACGUUGGCUGCAGAGCGCAUCCCGGCUGCGCCCCGGCGGGGAGGCGCGGAGGGUAGCUGAGGGGAGCGGGUCACGUGAGAGGAGGAGUCUGACCCACUUUCGCCGGCAGCCGGCGCAUGCGUAGUUCCGGGCUGCACGCCGGCCGGGAGGCUCACGUGGAGUCGCACGUGCAGGGUGCUCCCGCCAGGGGCCCGG